CCUACUGGAGGCAGCAGUGGGGAAUUUUGGACAAUGGGCGCAAGCCUGAUCCAGCCAUGCCGCGUGUGGGAAGAAGGCCUUCGGGUUGUAAACCACUUUUGUCAGGGAAGAAAUGGCUUUUUCUAAUACAGAGAGCUAAUGACGGUACCUGAAGAAUAAGCACCGGCUAACUACGUGCCAGCAGCCGCGGUAAUACGUAGGGUGCAAGCGUUAAUCGGAAUUACUGGGCGUAAAGCGUGCGCAGGCGGCUUUGCAAGACAGAUGUGAAAUCCCCGGGCUCAACCUGGGAACUGCAUUGUGACUGCAUGGCUAGAGUACGGUAGAGGGGGAUGGAAUUCCGCGUGUAGCAGUGAAAUGCGUAGAUAUGCGGAGGAACACCGAUGGCGAAGGCAAUCCCCUGGACCUGUACUGACGCUCAUGCACGAAAGCGUGGGGAGCAAACAGGAUUAGAUACCCUGGUAGUCCACGCCCUAAACGAUGUCAACUGGUUGUUGGACGGCUUGCUGUUCAGUAACGAAGCUAACGCGUGAAGUUGACCGCCUGGGGAGUACGGCCGCAAGGUUGAAACUCGAAAUGAAUUGACGG
rnacentral:rRNA from 1 species